rnacentral:rRNA from 1 species
AGGACGAACGCUGGCGGCGUGCUUAACACAUGCAAGUCGAGCGGAAAGGCCCUUCGGGGUACUCGAGCGGCGAACGGGUGAGUAACACGUGAGCAACCUGCCCCUGGCUCUGGGAUAGCCUCCGGAAACGGGGAUUAAUACCGGACAUGACCUGCUGCCGCAUGGUGGCGGGUGGAAAGUUUUUCGGCCAGGGUGGGCUCGCGGCCUAUCAGCUUGUUGGGGGGGUGACGGCCCACCAAGGCGACGACGGGUA